GGAGAAUAAAAGAGGAAGAUGUAGAAGAAGAAGAAGAAAAAGAGGAGAGUGCCACUGGCACGCAGAAGGGAGCGCCACAAAACAUCGUCACCUGCCGGACGUUCGGAGAUUAGCUUAGAUCAGGAGCAUGUUUAAAGUUGAAAGAAAACUCUGGAUGAAAUUUUAGAGACUUUUGAUGGAUGAAAGGGAGAGACAAAGCAAAGAAACAUAUGAGAGGUUAACAAUCGACUAGUAUAUAUAUAUAAGUGAAUAUGUAUGUCAUGUGAUCUUAUAAAUAGCUAUUGAUAUAUGUAAAC